rnacentral:misc_RNA from 1 species
CCACCACAGAGACAAUCUUCCAUUGGGUUCCCUCUCCAUGAAAGGAUGGGCAAACAACCCAAAACAAAACUAAAAAACAACUAUUUGGGUGGGAAGAAACCCCUGCCCGAAUGGAGCAAGGGACAGCCACUAACGGUAGAGAAAGGAGCUGGUCUCCUAGAUGAAAAGAAAGGAAAAAUGAGAGAACUUUCUCUCUCUACAACNNNNNNNNNNNAGAGAGAGAGUUAAUUAACUCAUAGGUUUCUUAGACCAUUGACAAACACCGAAUCAAAUCUCUCCAUCUC